rnacentral:miRNA from 1 species
GUGAAUGAUAUCGAAUGGCUCA